AACAAACUAUUUCUUAAAUCACACACGUACCGACACAUGAUCCGGGGUGCUCACUUACUUAGAUAUAAGAAGCUGAGUCGGACGCAUGGGGUAUGUGGAGGCCUAAC
rnacentral:sRNA from 23 species